GAUGAAGAACGUAGUGAAAUGCGAUAAGUAGUGUGAAUUGCAGAAUUCAGUGAAUCAUCGAAUCUUUGAACGCACAUUGCGCCCCUUGGUAUUCCAUGGGGCAUGCCUGUUCGAGCGUCAUUUGUACCCUCCAGCCCUGCUGGGUGUUGGGCGUUUGUUCCGCCGCGCGCGUGAACUCGCCUCAAAUGCAUUGGCAGCCAGCCGUCCCGCGUGGGAGCGCAGCACAUUUUGCGCUCUCCGCUGGGUGCGGCGGCGUCCACAAGCCUAUACCUUUACGCUUGACCUCGGAUCAGGUAGGGAAACCCGCUGAACUUAAGCAUAUCAAUAAGCGGAGGA
rnacentral:misc_RNA from 1 species